rnacentral:rRNA from 1 species
UACGUAGGGUGCAAGCGUUAAUCGGAAUUACUGGGCGUAAAGCGUGCGCAGGCGGUUGUGCAAGACCGAUGUGAAAUCCCCGGGCUUAACCUGGGAAUGGCAUUGGUGACUGUACGGCUAGAGUGUGUCAGAGGGGGGUAGAAUUCCACGUGUAGCAGUGAAAUGCGUAGAGAUGUGGAGGAAUACCGAUGGCGAAGGCAGCCCCCUGGGAUAACACUGACGCCUCAUGCACGAAAGCGUGGGGAGCAAACAGG